rnacentral:rRNA from 1 species
UACAGAGACUGCAAGCGUUAUUCGGAUUCACUGGGCGUAAAGGGUGCGCAGGCGGCCGAGUGUGUGAGGCGUGAAAGCCCGGGGCUUAACCCCGGAAUUGCACCUCAAACUACACGGCUAGAGCAUUGGAGAGGGUAGCAGAAUUCACGGUGUAGCAGUGAAAUGCGUAGAUAUCGUGAGGAAUACCAGAGGCGAAGGCGGCUACCUGGACAAUUGCUGACGCUCAGGCACGAAAGCGUGGGGAGCAAACAGG